rnacentral:antisense_RNA from 1 species
AGAAAGGGGUUAUUGAGGGAACCUACACUGUUCUAGCUGCACCCCAUGCCCUUCUCAGAGGAAAGCCUGGCAUUGAUUAGAUACUGGGCCAGACUAAUACUGGCAGCAGAGCCAGUGAUAGUAACCUGCCUACCAGAGGAGCCUUCCACUGGGUUGGCAAUUUUGAUCUGGGCCCCGGACAUCUGGCGGAUCUCAUUAAUGUUGGCGCCUUGGCGCCCGAUUAUGCAGCCAAUUAAGUUAUUUGGAAUGAGGAAGACACUUAAAGAUGAAGUGCUUAAUUCAAGGUCACAGAAUGUCGGGGAUGGACCUCCAGAUUUCCUUACUGACCUGCAUUAUCUUGUGGAUACCUGAGUGAAUUCCACACCACCCAUUUUAUAGAUGAAGCCACUGAGACGUGGAGCAACUGACUGAGUAGUCACUGCCCCACCCCUGCCUGGAGCCUCACACAUGACUUCUCUUAGUGACCACAGGUUGGUUGAGGGGUUUAACAAGGCUAAGAAGUACUUAUCCUGUAUUACAUGAGGGAAAUGAAAUAAAAAGACUGCAACCCUCCUCCCAGCUACUCUAGUGAGGUGGUAGCUAGGAAAACAAGCUCAGGGCUCCCACUGAUUGUACAUUAUGGUGAGACGUGGUCUUGUAACACAGUGGUUAAGAAUGUGACUUUGGAGCCAGCCUGCUAGGGGCUGAAUUCUGACUCAGCCAUUUAUUAACUGUGUGACCUUAGGUCAUAGAAUUUUCCACACUCCUUGACGGAGGUUCUUAACCCUUAUCCAUCAGCAUUCUCAGACAGCACCUCCGGUUAGGGACAGUAUCUGACCGUCCGACAUCCCUGCAGCCCCCA